rnacentral:rRNA from 1 species
AUUGAACGCUGGCGGCAGGCCUAACACAUGCAAGUCGAGCGGAUGAAGGGAGCUUGCUCCUGGAUUCAGCGGCGGACGGGUGAGUAAUGCCUAGGAAUCUGCCUGGUAGUGGGGGAUAACGUCCGGAAACGGGCGCUAAUACCGCAUACGUCCUGAGGGAGAAAGUGGGGGAUCUUCGGACCUCACGCUAUCAGAUGAGCCUAGGUCGGAUUAGCUAGUUGGUGGGGUAAAGGCCUACCAAGGCGACGAUCCGUAACUGGUCUGAGAGGAUGAUCAGUCACACUGGAACUGAGACACGGUCCAGACUCCUACGGGAGGCAGCAGUGGGGAAUAUUGGACAAUGGGCGAAAGCCUGAUCCAGCCAUGCCGCGUGUGUGAAGAAGGUCUUCGGAUUGUAAAGCACUUCAAGUUGGGAGGAAGGGCAGUAAGUUAAUACCUUGCUGUUUUGACGUUACUAACAGAAUAAGCACCGGCUAACUUCGUG